AGGUUUUUUUUUUUUUCAUCCCUUAACCUUUCUCUCACCGAUCUCUCUUCUAUUUGAUUGCUCUCCUUCUCAAAAUUAGAGUUCAGGCUUGAAGAAUAAAUGGUUAAGGCUUCAGAUGAUUUUAUGUUGUUUAAGUGCGUGAAGGCCGACUGGAUCGCUAACCAUGAUCUGUUGCAGGAUUGAUGAGAUGCUAUAGCAUGGACCAGAGUUUAUUCCUCUCUUUAUUCUCUCUCUCCAUCUUUCUCUUUCUCAUAGAUCUCCCUCCGAUUUCCUCUCGGCUAAUCCGCUGGCGACAAAAGCAUAUCUAAAAUUGUUGAAUAUCUCAAAUCCUUUUCUGGAAAUUCUGGAACUUCCAGCACCAUUGCCGUUGUAUAGAUUCGCGAACCCCUCCUUCUCUGGUCCCAGUCGCAGUCAAAGCAUGAUUUUGAUUCCUCAAUUCAAAGCAAAUCUUGCCAAGAAGGAGAUGUUCUUAAAUUCAACUUCUUACCUUAGCUUGUUCUUCAUGAAUCUUAGAUCUAC